rnacentral:rRNA from 1 species
UCCAUCGGUAGCUUGCUAUCCAUGGUGAGAGUGGCGCACGGGUGCGUAACGCGUGAGCAACCUGCCUCCAUCAGGGGGAUAGCCUCUCGAAAGAGAGAUUAACACCGCAUAACAUAUUUUACCGGCAUCGGACGAAUAUUAAAUAUUUAUAGGAUGGAGAUGGGCUCGCGUGACAUUAGCUUGUUGGUGGGGUAACGGCCCACCAAGGCGACGAUGUCUAGGGGCUCUGAGAGGAGAAUCCCCCACACUGGUACUGAGACACGGACCAGACUCAUACGGGAGGCAGCAGUAAGGAAUAUUGGUCAAUGGGCGGAAGCCUGAACCAGCCAUGCCGCGUGCAGGAUGACUGCCCUAUGGGUUGUAAACUGCUUUUGUCCGGGAAUAAACCUCCUUACGAGUAGGGAGCUGAAUGUACCGGAAGAAUAAGGAUCGGCUAACUCCGUGCCAGCAGCCGCGGUAAUACGGAGGAUCCGAGCGUUAUCCGGAUUUAUUGGGUUUAAAGGGUGCGUAGGCGGCCUGUUAAGUCAGGGGUGAAAUACGGUGGCUCAACCAUCGCAGUGCCUUUGAUACUGACGGGCUUGAAUCCAUAUGAAGUGGGCGGAAUAAGACAAGUAGCGGUGAAAUGCAUAGAUAUGUCUUAGAACUCCGAUUGCGAAGGCAGCUCACUAAGCUGGUAUUGACGCUGAUGCACGAAAGCGUGGGGAUCGAACAGGAUUAGAUACCCUGGUAGUCCACGCCCUAAACGAUGAUAACUCGAUGUUGGCGAUAGACAGCCAGCGUCCCAGCGAAAG